CCCCUUCAGCCGCAGCGUCCCUCGCCGGGUGUCUCGCCGCAGCCUCCGGAGAGGAACAGACCCUCACUCACUCUGUCAGAAAAAUGUGGUGGACAUCAUGCGUGUGAACGUGGACAAGGUCCUGGAGAGGGACCAGAAGCUGUCAGAGCUGGAUGACCGAGCUGAUGCCUUGCAGGCAGGAGCAUCACAAUUUGAGAGCAGUGCUGCAAAGCUAAAGAGGAAGUAUUGGUGGAAAAACUGCAAGAUGAUGAUCAUGCUGGGAGCCAUCUGUGCCAUCAUCGUGGUAGUUAUUGUAAGGCGGGACUGAAGAGCUGGAAGAAAGCAGUCAGUACCCUCCCAACGGCCCCUCGAAGGUCUCCACUCUCCUCUGGGCUCCUCCUUGCCUAAUGCAGGGGGCCACCGCUGGAGAAGAACCACUCCUGUCCUCGAUGUGUCCCAAGCCUGGAGCAAAUCCGUCCUCUUGGCUCUCCCAGCCCCAUCACAGGAAUCAUUCCUGGGUUUCUGUCCCUCUGAGGCUCACCAGGUGUAGUUGGCUUUGUUCUUUGGGGGUAUUGGCCCUUCUACUUUCUUUCUCACCCACCUUGUACCCUCUUCUGUGUGUCUUUGCUAUCCCCCUUCCCUCCCACCAACCAUGUGCAUGAGCAAACGUGCAAGUAAACCCCGGGACUUUGCAGUCAAAUGAAGCUGAGCUUCCCACAUCCCCCUCUUCGGUUUGCCAUGAGACGAUGUGGGGUUUCCACUGUGUGUCUGUCAUCAC
rnacentral:sRNA from 1 species